GCAUUAAAUGGUACUCCCUCUGUAAACUAAUAUAAGAGCGUUUAGAUCACUAUUUUAGUAUUCUAAACACUCUUAUAUUAGUUUACGGAGGGAGUACUAUAUGUUUUUGGCUUGCUUUUGUUCACUUUUGUCCUGUCCAAAGUGGAAUAAGAAAAUAAAGUCAAAACAGGCUCAACCAUGACUACUUUGCUCUUGUGAUCACCAAUUUCUGCUCCAUUGCGCACAAGAAAGUAGUGACUAUUUAUUUGCUUAAACAAUAUGUCCAGCGCUGCCUGUCCUGCUAAUAUUCCUUUAUGGAUGUAUCGCACAAAUUUCAGUUAUUGGAUAUGAAAUGUAGGUUCUCUACUCAGAGCUUGGUCCAAUGGUCAAUGCAGCUCUAUGUUGUGCUAUCUUGCUAUUGGGCUCUUUUUUCGUUACUUAAAAUGGUCAGAUAUCUCUGAUGUUAAAUUCGUGGUUGAUUGCUUAUAUCCAAAAUAACUAUGUUAGUACACUAAAGCCAAUUUCUACAUUGUUAGUGAAGUUGGCUAAAUUUAGUCCAACAUUUCCAGUAUGUAUCUUCUUCUGCUAUCAGUGUUAAUUCUGCCAUAAGCAUAUUACUCUCCUAGCAUUUUUUUUCGAUGAAAAACACAGACACUUGUUCAGUUUUUUACUACAUAGAAAAAGAUAAGUUCAAUUUGGUUUCUAAUGUUCAUGUCGGCCUUUGCCUAAGCAAAAAAAGGUAACCAGUCUAUAUUGCAAUAUGGUUUUUAGUUUCUCUUUGAUUCAACCUUUUUUUGUGUGCUGUCUAACUGUUAGAUUGUCUGGAACAUCUUGGAACAACCUUCCGUGUCCCCGAUAUUAUCUCGUUUCCUGAACAAUAUUAUUUUAUUUGCUUUAUCUGCCACCAUGAAUUCCUAGAGUUCCUUUCUCUCCUUCCAAUUGACUUUCUUAGAUGUGAUUCUAUUAGAAAUUUUGUGCCAUGACAGAAGUAAUGGUUGAUUGCUCUGGUUUAGCCUUUAUGUCAGUUGUUGCUGAGGGUCCAGUUUCUCAUUUUUCAGAAUUUGUAGUAGUAGGGAUGUGUAUAAUAUGGAUAACUGAACUGGUGUUUAGGGGUUUCAGUGCAGGACUGCUACUUGCUCGAUUAGUUAGAUCAACUGGUGUUUGGAGAUUUCAGUGCGAGUGAUGUUCCAGUUUCGAUUGCAGGGCUUCGAGAUGCACCAUGAGGAUCUGACUGUUAGACUUGCGAAGCUAGCAACCUAUGAUCAAAUUAAGGCUGCAAUCAAGGAAGAGUCUGAGGGAAACGUCAAGGGCAUUUUGGGUUACGUUGAUGAGGACCUUGUUUCCACUGACUUCCAGGGUGACAACAGGUCCAGCAUCUUUGAUGCCAAGGCCGAGAUUGCCCUGAACAACAACUUUGUCAAGCUUGUCUCCUGGUACGACAACGAGUGGGGAUACAGCACCCGCGUUGUCGACCUCAUCCGUCACAUGCACAGCACCAAGUAAAUGAGAGGCAUGAAGAUAUAGGGGAGAGUGGUUUGCCCCAGAGGAGUGUUCAAAGCCUCUUCUUCUGAGAAUCAAUUUUUUUUGUGGAACAUGCUUCAUUUUUGCAGGUAAAAGAAGGAAGAGAACAUUGGAGAAAAAGGCAGCAGGACGGAUUCUCUAAGCUUUCUCAAAUGUUUGAACAAUUAGAAGAUAGUUACAAUCAUUUUUCUCUUGCCUUAUUACAUCUUGAUGUUAAUAGGCUUUGGAAGGUACUAUGCGCCCCGUUCAAGGUUUACAGAAUUUGCACCAUCCUAUUACAGUUUGUUCUGAUGACAUAAUUGACCAGUUCUUCCUUGAGUAAAUUAAUAUUGUGGCUGCUA